rnacentral:tRNA from 1 species
GCCCGAGUAGCUCAGUUGGUAGAGCAGCUGUCUUGUAAACAGCAGGUCGCCGGUUCGAGGCCGGCCUCGGGCU